UACGGCCUUCGUUUCUCACUAUCCUUACGACGAAAAAGGAUCGAGAAACCACCGUUGUGUAGCCUGAUCUACCUCGCACGAGGAAAACUAAGUCGUAGACCUUCGCGGCUAAACACCAUCGCGGAACGACGACCGGAAAACCCCCGACGAACAACUUCCAUUAGUGCUCACUUGGACAAGGGUUGAGCUGAUGUGAUGAUGGUGCUGCAAUGAGCGGAGUCUCCAGGGUUGUUAAUAAAUAGUUAACCUGUCUAGAAUAUGUCUUCAUACAUAUGUCUAGCUACUUUCCGCUGCAAGAUGUUGUUGAUGUUAUAGUAUGUUAUGUCAUACUUUGAGUCUUAAGAGAAUGGUUUCAUAUGAUGUAUAACUUGAUUAAUGCUAUUAAUUAAGUUUUAUGCUGUCUUUCAUAGACUA